rnacentral:lncRNA from 1 species
AGGAACAAAGGGCUCAUUGUCAUGCAAAUGAACGACUCCGGAGGAAGAGGGCGGUUCCUCCACUCUGGGGUGCCCCUCCUGCCCUCUAACUUCUAAGCCACACUGGAAACCGACCCCCAACCUUCAGAAGUGUGGGCAUCUCUGGGCCUCUGCUCUGGGCUAAAUGAGGCGCACUCUCUCAGCCUGGGAAAUGGGCCCCUGCCAGUUCUGAGCCAGAUCCCCAGAAAACAGGACCCGCCUCGGAAGAUAGGGAUAGUAGAGGGACUUUUGGGGAUGAAACAGGAUGAUCCCCUUAACAUGCUAAGCAUGACCUUGAGCAAAGAAGCAACUGCCUUGGAAAUGCCAUUCACUUGGUAAUACUGCAGGCCUGCAGCUGUGUGUCUUUGAGCAAGCUGCCUACCCUCUCCGUGCCUUAUCAGGAGAGGGUGACUCUGUGCCGACUUUACAAGGCUAUGGGAAGGACACAAUGAACUAAGUGCCUGCUACAUACCCAGUGCUGGGGACACAGCGGUGACAAAGAUGAACAAAAUCCUGGAUGGAGGGGUGCUGGAGUGUGAAUGUUUAUGUCCCCCCAAAAUCUGCAUGUUGAGACCUAAUCACCACGGGAUGAUGUCAGAGCGUGGGGCUUCUGGGAGGUGAUGAGCUGUCAUGAGUGGGAUUGGUGCCCCCGGAAAGCCGCCCUGCCCCUCUUCCUGGGAGAAGCCACCAUCUAUGAACCAGGAAACGGGCCCUCCUCCCAUGUGACACCAAAUCUGCCAGCAUCUUGGUCUUGGACAUCCAGCCUCCAGAACUGUGAGCAAUAAAGUUCUAGUGUUUGUGAGCCACCCAGUCCAAAUAGACUAAAACAAGGUGGGGACAGGGGUGAUGGGCAUACCGCAGACCCUGGUGGUGACAGUGUUACAAGGAGCAGUGAAGGUGUCACAGGGAGUCACAACCCGACAUCAGGCCUCUCUCAGGAGGUGCCAUUAGCAGAGGCCUAUAUCAGGGAGGCUGAAGAUCUCAGGAAAGGGUGUUCCCAGAAGAGGUUACAGCCAGGCCGGGUGUGGUGGCUCAUGCCUGUAAUCCUAGCACUUUGGGAGGCCGAGGCGGGUGGAUCACUUGAGGUCAGGAGUUCAAGACCAGACUGGCUAACAUGGCAAAACCCUGUCUCCACUCAAAAUACAAAAAUUAGGCAUGGUGGCAUGCGCCUGUAGUCCCAGCUACUCAGGAGGCAGGAGAAUCGCUUGAACCUGAAAGAAAGGUGGCCACAGCUCUGCACUCCAGCCUGGGGGAGUGAGACUUUG